UUAAGCGACUAAGCGUACACGGUGGAUGCCCUGGCAGUCAGAGGCGAUGAAGGACGUGCUAAUCUGCGAUAAGCGUCGGUGAGGUGAUAUGAACCGUUAUAACCGGCGAUUUCCGAAUGGGGAAACCCAGUGUGUUUCGACACACUAUCAUUAACUGAAUCCAUAGGUUAAUGAGGCGAACCGGGGGAACUGAAACAUCUAAGUACCCCGAGGAAAAGAAAUCAACCGAGAUUCCCCCAGUAGCGGCGAGCGAACGGGGAGGAGCCCAGAGCCUGAAUCAGUGUGUGUGUUAGUGGAAGCGUCUGGAAAGGCGCGCGAUACAGGGUGACAGCCCCGUACACAAAAAUGCACAUAUUGUGAGCUCGAUGAGUAGGGCGGGACACGUGGUAUCCUGUCUGAAUAUGGGGGGACCAUCCUCCAAGGCUAAAUACUCCUGACUGACCGAUAGUGAACCAGUACCGUGAGGGAAAGGCGAAAAGAACCCCGGCGAGGGGAGUGAAAAAGAACCUGAAACCGUGUACGUACAAGCAGUGGGAGCCUCUUUAUGGGGUGACUGCGUACCUUUUGUAUAAUGGGUCAGCGACUUAUAUUCUGUAGCAAGGUUAACCGAAUAGGGGAGCCGAAGGGAAACCGAGUCUUAACUGGGCGUUAAGUUGCAGGGUAUAGACCCGAAACCCGGUGAUCUAGCCAUGGGCAGGUUGAAGGUUGGGUAACACUAACUGGAGGACCGAACCGACUAAUGUUGAAAAAUUAGCGGAUGACUUGUGGCUGGGGGUGAAAGGCCAAUCAAACCGGGAGAUAGCUGGUUCUCCCCGAAAGCUAUUUAGGUAGCGCCUCGUGAAUUCAUCUCCGGGGGUAGAGCACUGUUUCGGCAAGGGGGUCAUCCCGACUUACCAACCCGAUGCAAACUGCGAAUACCGGAGAAUGUUAUCACGGGAGACACACGGCGGGUGCUAACGUCCGUCGUGAAGAGGGAAACAACCCAGACCGCCAGCUAAGGUCCCAAAGUCAUGGUUAAGUGGGAAACGAUGUGGGAAGGCCCAGACAGCCAGGAUGUUGGCUUAGAAGCAGCCAUCAUUUAAAGAAAGCGUAAUAGCUCACUGGUCGAGUCGGCCUGCGCGGAAGAUGUAACGGGGCUAAACCAUGCACCGAAGCUGCGGCAGCGACACUAUGUGUUGUUGGGUAGGGGAGCGUUCUGUAAGCCUGUGAAGGUGGCCUGUGAGGGUUGCUGGAGGUAUCAGAAGUGCGAAUGCUGACAUAAGUAACGAUAAAGCGGGUGAAAAGCCCGCUCGCCGGAAGACCAAGGGUUCCUGUCCAACGUUAAUCGGGGCAGGGUGAGUCGACCCCUAAGGCGAGGCCGAAAGGCGUAGUCGAUGGGAAACAGGUUAAUAUUCCUGUACUUGGUGUUACUGCGAAGGGGGGACGGAGAAGGCUAUGUUGGCCGGGCGACGGUUGUCCCGGUUUAAGCGUGUAGGCUGGUUUUCCAGGCAAAUCCGGAAAACCAAGGCUGAGGCGUGAUGACGAGGCACUACGGUGCUGAAGCGACAAAUGCCCUGCUUCCAGGAAAAGCCUCUAAGCAUCAGGUAACAUCAAAUCGUACCCCAAACCGACACAGGUGGUCAGGUAGAGAAUACCAAGGCGCUUGAGAGAACUCGGGUGAAGGAACUAGGCAAAAUGGUGCCGUAACUUCGGGAGAAGGCACGCUGAUAUGUAGGUGAAGCGACUUGCUCGUGGAGCUGAAAUCAGUCGAAGAUACCAGCUGGCUGCAACUGUUUAUUAAAAACACAGCACUGUGCAAACACGAAAGUGGACGUAUACGGUGUGACGUCUGCCCGGUGCCGGAAGGUUAAUUGAUGGGGUUAGCGGUAACGCGAAGCUCUUGAUCGAAGCCCCGGUAAACGGCGGCCGUAACUAUAACGGUCCUAAGGUAGCGAAAUUCCUU
rnacentral:rRNA from 1 species